rnacentral:lncRNA from 1 species
CAAUCUCUAAGGCGGGUUUCCGCUGAGAACGGAAUAGUGUUCGUGUCCAAAGGUGAACAAAGCCCUAGCUUCUAGAGUUCGCUGCUUUUCCCAGGCCGGAGAAGGGCUUAUACUGCUCGCCUUUGUUUGAUAUGUUCAUUCAGUACCAAUACAAACAAAAACUACACCAAAGUGGAAGGGCCAGUAUAGAAGCUAGAAGUAGCUAGCCUAU